UUGCUCAAUUUGGCAGCACAUAGGCUAAAAUUGGAACAAUACAGAGAAGAUUAGCAUGGCCUCUGUGGCAAGGAUGACACGAAAAUUUGUGAAACGUUCCAGGUUUUU